AUUGAACGCUGGCGGCAGGCCUAACACAUGCAAGUCGAGCGGGGUUUUCGGACCUAGCGGCGGACGGGUGAGUAAUGCGUAGGAAGCUACCCGACAGAGGGGGAUACCAGUUGGAAACGACUGUUAAUACCGCAUAAUGUCUACGGACCAAAGUGUGGGACCUUCGGGCCACAUGCUGUCGGAUGCGCCUACGUGGGAUUAGCUAGUUGGUGAGGUAAUGGCUCACCAAGGCGACGAUCCCUAGCUGGUUUGAGAGGAUGAUCAGCCACACUGGAACUGAGACACGGUCCAGACUCCUACGGGAGGCAGCAGUGGGGAAUAUUGGACAAUGGGCGCAAGCCUGAUCCAGCCAUGCCGCGUGUGUGAAGAAGGCCUUCGGGUUGUAAAGCACUUUCAGCGAGGAGGAAGGGUUGUGUGUUAAUAGCACAUAGCUUUGACGUUACUCGCAGAAGAAGCACCGGCUAACUCUGUGCCAGCAGCCGCCGUAACAC
rnacentral:rRNA from 1 species